CCUACGGGCGGCAGCAGUGGGGCAUAUUGCACAAUGGGGGAAACCCUGAUGCAGCGACGCCGCGUGAGUGAAGAAGUAAUUCGUUAUGUAAAGCUCUAUCAACAAGGAAGAAAAUGACGGUACCUGAGUAAGAAGCCCCGGCUAACUACGUGCCAGCAGCCGCGGUAAUACGUAGGGGGCAAGCGUUAUCCGGAUUUACUGGGUGUAAAGGGAGCGUAGACGGCAGUGCAAGUCUGGAGUGAAAGGCGGGGGCACAACCCCCGGACUGCUCUGGAAACUGUACGGCUGGAGUGCAGGAGAGGUAAGUGGAAUUCCUAGUGUAGCGGUGAAAUGCGUAGAUAUUAGGAGGAACACCAGUGGCGAAGGCGGCUUACUGGACUGUAACUGACGUUGAGGCUCGAAAGCGUGGGGAGCAAACAGGAUUAGAUACCCGGGUAGUC
rnacentral:rRNA from 1 species